UACGAAGGGGGCUAGCGUUGCUCGGAAUCACUGGGCGUAAAGCGCACGUAGGCGGAUUGCUAAGUCAGGGGUGAAAUCCUGGAGCUCAACUCCAGAACUGCCUUUGAUACUGGCGAUCUUGAGUCCGGGAGAGGUGAGUGGAACUGCGAGUGUAGAGGUGAAAUUCGUAGAUAUUGGGAGGAACACCAGUGGCGAAGGCGGCUCACUGGACCGGUACUGACGCUGAUGCGCGAAAGCGUGGGGAGCAAACAGG
rnacentral:rRNA from 1 species